UAGGGAAUCUUCGGCAAUGGACGAAAGUCUGACCGAGCAACGCCGCGUGAGUGAAGAAGGUUUUCGGAUCGUAAAACUCUGUUGUUAGAGAAGAACAAGGACGUUAGUAACUGAACGUCCCCUGACGGUAUCUAACCAGAAAGCCACGGCUAACUACGUGCCAGCAGCCGCGGUAAUACGUAGGUGGCAAGCGUUGUCCGGAUUUAUUGGGCGUAAAGCGAGCGCAGGCGGUUUCUUAAGUCUGAUGUGAAAGCCCCCGGCUCAACCGGGGAGGGUCAUUGGAAACUGGGAGACUUGAGUGCAGAAGAGGGGAGUGUAAUUCCAUGUGUAGCGGUGAAAUGCGUAGAUAUAUGGAGGAACACCAGUGGCGAAGGCGGCUCUCUGGUCUGUAACUGACGCUGAGGCUCGAAAGCGUGGGGAGCAAACAGG
rnacentral:rRNA from 1 species